CCCUGAGUUUAGCCCAGAGAGGGUUCCAGUCCCCGAGUUUAGCCCCGAGAGGGUUCCAGUCCCCGAGUUUAGCCCAGAGAGUUUUCCAGUCCCCAAGUUUGGCCCAAAGAGGGUUUCAGUCCCCGAGUUUAGCCCAGAGAGGGUUCCAGUCCCCGAGUUUAGCCCAGAGAGUUUUCCAGUCCCCAAGUUUGGCCCAAAGAGGGUUUCAGUCCCCGAGUUUAGCCCAGAGAGGGUUCCGGUC